rnacentral:rRNA from 1 species
UACGUAGGGGGCAAGCGUUGUCCGGAAUUAUUGGGCGUAAAGCGCGCGUAGGCGGUGCUUUAAGUCUGAUGUGAAAGCCCACGGCUCAACCGUGGUGGGUCAUUGGAAACUGGGUCACUUGAGUGCAGGAGAGGGGAGUGGAAUUCCACGUGUAGCGGUGAAAUGCGUAGAUAUGUGGAGGAACACCAGUGGCGAAGGCGACUCUCUGGACUGUAACUGACGCUGAGGCGCGAAAGCGUGGGGAGCAAACAGG